rnacentral:rRNA from 1 species
GACGAACGCUGGCGGCGUGCUUAACACAUGCAAGUCGAACGGAAAGGCCCUGCUUUUGUGGGGUGCUCGAGUGGCGAACGGGUGAGUAACACGUGAGUAACCUGCCCUUGACUUUGGGAUAACUCCAGGAAACUGGGGCUAAUACCGGAUAGGAGCUCCUGCUGCAUGGUGGGGGUUGGAAAGUUUCGGCGGUUGGGGAUGGACUCGCGGCUUAUCAGCUUGUUGGUGGGGUAGUGGCUUACCAAGGCUUCGACGGGUAGCCGGCCUGGGAGGGUGACCGGCCACAUUGGGACUGAGAUACGGCCCAGACUCCUACGGGAGGCAGCAGUGGGGAGUAUUGCACAAUGGGCGGAAGCCUGAUGCAGCAACGCCGCGUGCGGGAUGACGGCCUUCGGGUUGUAAACCGCUUUCGCCUGUGACGAAGCGUGAGUGACGGUAAUGGGUAAAGAAGCACCGGCUAACUACGUG